CUUCACCACAAUUGAAGGAAAGGAAAGGAACCACCACAAUCGCCACCACCACCACCACCACCACUACUACUACUACUACAACUACUACUACAAAAUGGUACCACCUCUAAAAGCGUUGAUCGUGGUGGGCGUGGUUACAGUGGUUACAGCGGCGCCCACACCUGAGUCCCCCCUAUUUAUGGCCCCCCCGUUCGCCCCCCCAAAAGCCACCAACCUGCACCUUAUAAGGAAGAACCGGCCAAACCGUACGCCUUCGACUACGGAGUGCGGGAUGCCCACUACGGCGCCAACUUCGGACACAAGGAGACCAGUGACGGCAACUCCAUAACCGGAUCGUACCAGGUAGCUCUUCCAGACGGCCGGGUGCAGAC